UAAUACCGUAUGUGGUCCAGAGACGAAUGAUUUAUCGUCAAGGGAUCGGCCCGCGUCGGAUUAGGUAGUUGGUGGGGUAAUGGCCUACCAAGCCGACGAUCCAUAGCUGGUCUGAGAGGAUGAUCAGCCACACUGGGACUGAAACACCGCCCCCACCCCUACGGCAGGCACCCGUGGGGAAUCUUAGACAAUGGGGGAAACCCUGAUCUAGCCAUGCCGCGUGAUCGAUGAAGGCCUUCGGGCUGUAAAGAUCUUUCAGGUGCGAAGAUAAUGACUGUACCCCCAGAAGAAGCCCCGGCUAACUCCGUGCCAGCAGCCGCGGUAAUACGGAGGGGGAUAGUGUUAUUCGGAAUUACUGGGCGCAAACCGCACGUAGGCGGACCAGAAAGUCAGACGUGAACGCCCGGGGCUCAACCCCCCGAACUGCCUUUGAAACUCCUGGUCUUGAGGCCCAGAGAGGCGAGUGGAAUUCCGAGUGUAGAGGUGAAA
rnacentral:rRNA from 1 species